rnacentral:rRNA from 1 species
AGGGCACCACCAGGAGUGGAGCCUGCGGCUUAAUUUGACUCAACACGGGGAAACUCACCCGGCCCGGACACCGGAAGGAUUGACAGAUUGAUAGCUCUUUCUUGAUUCGGUGGAUGGUGGUGCAUGGCCGUUCUUAGUUGGUGGAGCGAUCUGUCUGGUUAAUUCCGAUAACGAACGAGACUCUAGCCUAUUAAAUAGACGUCGGGUUCUCUGCACUCGACGGUCUUCUUAGAGGGACAAGGUGCUUUUAGCACCGCGAAACAGAGCAAUAACAGGUCUGUGACGCCCUUAGAUGUCCGGGGCCGCACGCGCGCUACACUGAAGGAAGCAGCGUGUAACAACCUUGUUCUAACGAACUGGGUAACCCGUGGAACUUCCUUCAUGAUUGGGAUAGGGGUUUGCAAUUGUGCCCCUUGAACGAGGAAUUCCCAGUAAACACUAGUCAUCAGCUAGUGCUGAUUACGUCCCUGCCCUUUAUACACACCGCCCGUCGCUACUACCGAUUGAAUGGUUUAGUGA